UUGGCUCCAGCAGACCCCUGUGUCAGGGUAUAGCAGGUUGGAUAAUGACUGACUGGCUGACUAAAUUAGCCAGGUGUGAGUAAGGUGCCCUGUAAUAGACUGCCAUUUGAUCCAUGAUGUAUUUCUGUCUUGCUGCUUGUGUAGCCUUUGGCUCUCAACAAUCUUGUAAUUGAGAAUGGAUAUGUUUUUUUAUUUCAUUUUUUAUUUUCAUCUUAUUGUAUCUUGCCCAUGUGGCCUAAUUGCUCUGAAGGGUCUUGCUGACUAUAAUGACCUCUCCUGCAUCUUGUAAUUAUCUUCAGUGAUUUGCUAAUUCAGUACACCGUUACUAAAGCAUUAGUCACCAUCUUGAAACUAAUUGCUGCACAGUUUUUCAUGGCUAGUGGGCCUUUAGUGCUCAGCUGUUACACUAUAUGGAGUGGCACUGGCCCAAUUUAAUUCGCUUAAAUAUCCAGUUCAUCUCUCCUGGCUUUAGGUGUCUUCUACUGGAUCACCACAGUUUCAUCACUGGUUUUCUUGGGCCUGCUGUGUAAAGAAGUUCACUCCACCAUGUCAUACUCUGGCCAUGUGACAUUCUCUGUUGCCUGGCAACAGAACCAUGAGAAAUGUUACCACUAGAGGACCUCAUUGAAUUCAUCAAGCUCAUUUAAGAAGGGAAAAAAAAAAACAGAAAAAAACCCUCAGCAUGCCAGCACAAGGUGAAGACCCUCAUGGACAUAAUCCAUAUAGAGAAAUGACAAGGGGAUCAAGAACACAAGGACUCAAAUAAUGGGAGCAAGAGGAUUGCUGGAUUAUGCAGCAUAGAAAGCUAUGUAGCCUUGUGAUCAAGUCUAUGGCCUGGAAAACUCCAAAUUGUUUAUUCAGUCCCUGCCUGUGACUCACAAUGUGGCACUGAGAAAUUAACUUCAUUUGAAAGUGGCUGCAAUGUAGGAGUAAAAAGAUAGCCAACUUUAUACAGUUGAGGAGAAGAAUCAAGAGAUGAUAUUUGAAAGAAGCAGAGCUGGGGCACAAAUCCCAGAGCAUUGGCCGCUAACAGAAUUGAUGCCUUGAGGAGAAUCCUGUGGAGUUUCUGGCCACAUUGAGCCUGGAGGGUCCGAGAGAGAGAAACAUUAAGUCAGGAUCUAUGGAUGGGUUAACCAGGAAGUGACGCACCACCACAUUGUCACAAUCUUCAGCUCUUUAAGAUUAUUAUGGUGUGUUAUGUUUUUUAUUCUUUAGUUGGAUUUUUUAAGUUUAAUUCUUUUUUAUACUUCACAUCUGCAUUGUUGCUUCCUGAACGACAUUAUCCAUGGCUAAUCUCUCGUGGUGGAGCCUAUGAGAGCCCAUCUCUGACAUUUUGGGUGUAAUGUUACAUACGAAUAAAGAGGUGCCCUUUUCUUUUCUGAGAGUCAUUCUUGUUUGUCACACAGACAGUGCACUCGGUCCCUCCAUAGUAGUGUACCUCCGACCAGUGAAAGGUGAAGCCUUCUAGUACUGGGCUCACUAUGGGGCAGUUGCCACUUUACUUCUGCUGUAGUGUAGACUGUGGAGCUCUUGUAAAUACUUUUCCAGGGGGAAAGAGAUGGUCACGGGUAGAAGUCCCACCAAAAUGAAAGAGAAGGAGGCAGUGGGAGAGAGAAAGAGUAACAUGGGGUAUCAAUUUUGAGAAUGUCAGCAUGCCAGUGGUGUGGUUGAGGUACACGAUGGACCAAAAUUUAAAUCUUUUAAGAGUUCAUAGAAUGUUUUGUGGCAACAUGUUCAGCAAAUGCCUGGGAACGAAGCAACCAACACACAUUAAGUAUAGCUAACCUGUUAAUUUUUAAAGCUACGGAGGACUGAAGGAGGCAAGUUCUAUUACUUCAGGCCACAUUUUGGAGGUAAAGAAAGGGAGAGCUCACCAAAACCAAAGGCCAUCUAUGACCCAGAAGUGUUGUUUCCCUAUUGUAAUUGUAAUAUUAGUGUUUGGCUUAUAUGUACCUUUUGUCUGUUGUGAUUUUUUCACACAUGAAGAAUCAAUUUCUGGCAUUAUUUUCACGUUUUGCAGGAGCUGAUCUUCAUUACCCUUU